UCUAGAACUCAAGAUAUGGGUUAAACACCAAAUAGUAUCUGGGCUGCAGGACAGAUUCAGACUUCUCUUUGGUUGCUAAGAUUUGAACUUGAAAAAGACAGUUUUGAAUCUUAGACUCUUCAUGAAUGUUUUAUGCAUAUGUCUUAGCUUUCCAUC
rfam:Populus trichocarpa isolate Nisqually-1 chromosome 7, whole genome shotgun sequence.